GUGCGGCGGCUCUGCCCCGCCCCCACCAAGCCCGCAGGCACUGCCCCAGGGACCCAGGAGGUCUCCGCGCCAGAAUCUCCCCGCAGCCCCCGCCCCCAGACGGAGCCUGGGCCUCCUGCCCCGUCUCACGCAGCACUUGAUGGCCUCUUACACAUGGGAAAAUAGGCCUGACCGAGCAGUGGUGCCCAGCCCAGUCCACGAGCUCAGCCUGUACUCUUCCGUAGAAUCCCAGCACCGGUGGCCUGACCCCACGUGUUCCAGGCCUGGGCAUCCCCCAGCUCCUAGAGGCCGUGCUGCAGCUGCUGCCCCUGGACACCUACGUGCAGAGCCCGGCUAUGGUCAUGGAGCUGGUGCCCAGCGACAGGAAGAGCGGCCUGCUGACACCAGUGUGGACGAGCUACCAGUCCAUCCUUUCCAGGGCUGGCUAUGAGUUCUCCCUGGGGAUGGUGGAGAGGUUUGCAUUUUAUGAGCGGGCGAAAAAGGCUUUUGCUGUUGUGGCAACUGGGUUGGUGUGCACUUUGCAGAAUUUCGUUCAAGUGGAAGGCCGUGUGUGCCCAGCAUGCUCGUGUGGGGUGCUAGCCGUGUCACUGCCAGGCCUUGGUCUCCUCGUCGGUGCUGUGGGUGCGGCAGCUCCUGUCGGGCUGGGGGGCUUGUAUGCUGCUGAGCAGCGCAUCCCGGGCCCUGAGCAGGCUCCGUCCAGGCUUGGGGAGGGUCCAGGUACCAAGUGUGUCCCUCUACACCCUGGGACGUGACUGCCACGGAGAAAGCCCUCUGCACCUGCAUGUGGACGGCGAGUAGCGCUCCAGUGACCUGCGCCCACGACCGACCGCAAGCCUGCCGAGCCACCGGGCACGGAGCCUGGGCCCAGCUGCCGCACCCGCCCGUGCCCUGCCCCCUGCCCCCUGCCGCCUGUCACCCGUGCCCUGCCCCCACUCGCCCGUGCCCUGCCCCCUGCCCCCUGCCCCCUGAGCCAGCACUGCCGGGCCCCUCCUCCCAGUCCUGCUUCCAAUGCCACUCCAUCCCCGCCCAUCCCAGCGCCCGGGGAGGCCGGGGGAGCAGAUGGGCCCAGGCGCGGGGGCACCGGGCGGGACCCAGGCUCAGCUUGCACUGCAAAGACCCUGCGUGUGUGGGGCCAGCCUGCAGCCCCCUUCUCCCAGACAGCAGGCAGGCCGCGAUCACUGUUCUUGAAUACACACAGCCACCUCUGCAGGCUUUAUUUUUCUCCGGCCGGGGCAGGGUCAGGGCUCCCUGGGGUGGUAGAUGUGGUCUCGGUCCUCCUCAGGCCCAUGAAGCACCUGGCGAGGGGGCAGCACCCGGGCCCAGGGCCUCGCCUCCUCUGGGGCCUCCUCGGGCCCGUCGUGGAACAGGCUGUCCCAGUCGGGCUCAGGACCCUCCCUCGGGCCCGGGACGUGGCCCAGGGCAUCCUCGGUCUCUGCCGGGGCUUUGGCACCUGGGGACAGACAGAGAGGCUGUGGCCUCCAUCUCCCUCCCAAGGCGCCAUCCAUCCAGGCCGACCCCAUGCCCUCCAGCCCAGUGGGCAGUGCCUGCCCCCACCUUUCUGCUCCUUGCUGGUGGCCAUGAGCUUGGGUGCCAUGAGCAGCCAGAUGAGCUGGUUGUCCUUCUCCAGAGACUCGACCGCGCGGGCGUCCCAGACCCUGUGAGCCAGAGCACGGAUUCACGUCUCGUGUGCAGCAGGAGGCCCGUCCCGGGCCAGGGUCCCUGCCGCACCCCUCCUGCGGGUGGGUCCUGGAGGAGGCUCGGGGGCUUGGCCAGGGCAGAGGUCAGCAGAGCCCGGGGCUUGCGGACGGGGCUGCUGCCAUCUGCCUGCCGCCUUGGCCGCCCAGCAGGAGUCAGCCUAGCGGGUGCCAGGGAGAUGGGUGGGCUGAGGGGCCAGACCCCCUGGGUGGGGCGGCGGGGAGCCACUCAAACCCCCAGGCCCGCACUCUGCUUGGUCGGUCAGCUCUCAGGGGCUCCCGUACCUCCCCUCCCCAAAGCUGGACACGACCCACCCUUCCACCAAGGUCCCCGGGGGGACGGGAAGGACUGCCAGGGGCACUCACUCUGUGUCCUGCUCAGCCCCGACUUUGCCUUUGGUCUGGACGCGGACCUGGGAGAGUGAGGCCGCAGGGCCGACGGGGACAGGGGAGCAGGUGAAACAGCGACCCACUGCCGUGACGGGGCCCAGCAGCUGCGGGACAGCUGUGCCUGUCCUCCUGCAUCUCCCCCUUGACCUGGGCACUCCCAGGCUGUAGGGAGGGGUAUCCUGGACCUGGAGCUGCAGAAGGACACGGUCCCAGCAGUCGUGGACCCCUGGACAAGCCUGCACAUGGAGGGGUCCCAGGCUUCACAGCACAGGGGAGCCUCACCAGGCCCCCUCCUCCACCUGGCUCACCUGGGGUCAUGAGACUUGUCCCCCAGACCCUGCUGAGGCCCCCAGUGCUCACAGGCCCUGCGGUUGCAUCCGCUGGUGCCUUCCUGCAGCCCCGGGGGCGGCUGGGUGAGGAGCCCACACGUACCUGGGGGAUCCGGGCUGAGCCCACCUCCAGCAGCAACACAGCCACCAGGCUGGCAAGCACCAGGGGCCUGGGGGCAGAGGGCAGAGUGAGGGGCGCGCUGCUCCUGCCCCGCGGCCUCCAGGCAGGGCUCCUGGCCUGGCGAGCAGCAGGGGCCUGGGGCAGAGGGCAGGGUGAGGGGCGCGCUGCUCCUGCCCCGCGGCCUCCAGGCAGGGCUCCUGGCCUGGCCAGCAGUGGUCCAGGGGGCAGAGGGCAGGGUGAGGGGCGCGCUGCUCCUGCCCCGCGGCCUCCAGGCAGGGCUCCUGGCCUGGCGAGCAGCAGGGGCCUGGGGCAGAGGGCAGGGUGAGGGGCGCGCUGCUCCUGCCCCGCGGCCUCCAGGCAGGGCUCCUGGCCUGGCGAGCAGCAGGGGCCUGGGGCAGAGGGCAGGGUGAGGGGCGCGCUGCUCCUGCCCCGCGGCCUCCAGGCAGGGCUCCUGGCCUGGCCGGCAGUGGUCCAACCAGGGAAGCCGGGGCGGGUCCCGCGCAGGUCCACAGCUAGCAUCCCAGACCAGGGCACGCGGGCCAGACUCACGUCUGAUCCCCACCCUGCAGGUCCCGGUUUCCCGCGGGCCUUGCCUGCGGGCCCAGAACCUCUGUCGGCCGAGUGCUUGGGGCCUGGGGCCGAGGGACGGGUGAGGUGUGGGCUCAAGGCUCCUCUCUAGGGCCCACGGCACCCUGAGGCUACACCCUGUGGCUCCUCAGAGGCAGAGGGCAAUUCCCUCCACCCUGGAGACAUGGGCAGGAAAGAUGGGGUGCUCUGUGUGGACACCUGCAGCCUGACCUUGAGGAGCUCAAAGACCAAGCCGAAGCAGGACUUCUGGGAAGCGUGGCCAAGGCUAGGCGCGCAGGGACGCGGGGGACAUGAGGUGACCUGAGCACUCGAGGGGGCUGGGCUGACGGCAGGGGCGUGAGGCGUGUUAGGGUGCACACGUGUGCAGGUGUGUGCUGUGCACGUGCCCUGGCGUCUCUCGCCUUAUUAAACCACAGGACACUAGGCCCCUGUGGAGUUGCUGCUGCUGCGUGUGUGCUCGUGUUAAGCCACUUCAGUCGUGUCCGGCCCUGAACUGAGACCUCACUGCAGUCUGGGCUCUCCCGGGAUGUAAUCUGAACCAGGCAGUCCAGGAUCGCCUGGCACCGCGGGGGUUCCAGGCCUGGUAGAGAGCAGCCCGCCGUGCCGGCCACCCACAGCUGCUGCAUGUCCCGGGCUCGGGUCGCUGCCCGGCACGGCCUCCACUUCUGUGCUGCUCGAGCUCCUUCUGUCUGCUGACUGGGUGCCACCCAGUUUCCCAGACUGGAAACUCCAGUGGCGUUUCACUUAAAUAAACAGACCGUCUCACCCGCCA